rnacentral:lncRNA from 1 species
GAAUGUUGGGAACCGAUCUGAUUCCAAGGAUUGAGAAGUUUUGCAGUGGUCAACUGGUAUAGACAUCCCAUUACCACUACUUCCUUCAUUGGACUGCAAGGUAUUUCUGUUUGGAAAAGUAAUGGAGUCCAGUCAACUUCAUUGAUCGCCAAGGACUGUCAAAAUUAUAAAACUUGCUGUGGAGCUCUGACAUGCCAGAAGCCGCUAGAAAAAGAAGUUUGACAUUCAGAAACUUAUCAAGAGGUUCUACUCUUUGGAUAGAGACCAAAAUCAUACUUUGAAAAAGCCUGACAGGUUUCUUCGGAAAAGUGGCCAUCCAUGGAAUGAAUGAAAUGUUCUCUUUCUAUUCCACCUCUAGAGACCAUCAAAAAACAAUGGCUCAUAAUGCUUUUAGAACAGAAACUGAAGUUGUAUACUGUGCAUAUGUAAUCCUACACAAGAGGAAGGCAAUGUUUAAAGCUGCUGUCACCUCUUAGGGAAAAAACUGGAAUUCUGAGUCAAGGGAUUGCAGUGGCAAAGCUAGGCUAGGUCUUGGAGGCUGGUGUAAGGCGAUGUGGGUGAAGGCAGGAGGCUGAUGGAAAGACUGGGGGGAAGAAAAGCCGAAAUGGAUUCACGGUGCCUUGGAUGAAGGACGAGAGGGGAACUGCAAGCUCCUUCAACUGGUUCUGUCCGGUGAGAAGUGAUCAAGCUUGGGCUGACAAGAGGCUCAGGGAGCCCUCACGUUCUUUCGCUUUUUUACCUGCCAAUCAAACUGCUACAAGACAACACCCUGAUCUGGCAUGGACAUCGCGGGUCCAAGCCUGUAGCCCCAAAUCGGAUAAUCUCUGCAGCUGAUAACAAGCAAAAGAGAAGCCAGGCAACAGCCAUAUUAAAGAAGAAAACAAUCAACUCUGAGAUCCAACUUAGAAAUAAUGUUUCAUUCAAGAUAAGGCUCGUGGCUUAGGAGAUUGUGACCUGGCUUGCAUCAUUCUAAGACUUCUAUCGUCUGUUUUCAAAACCCAAGGAGGACCUCCUUUUCUGUGUGAUAGUUCCUCAUGCUUUGCCAGCCACUGGGUCUUUAAGGAAGCUUGCCAAGAGUUCCCGGCUGGGAAGGACAGUUCGAGUUCAUCAUAGACAAUGAGCUGGCACCACAGUUUAAGUGACUCACCAACCUGGUUGCCCACUUCAAAAUGUCAAGAACCACACUAUCUAAUUGAAAGAACUGUGUUUUAGCAAAGUGUAAUUGGAUCGCCUGGCAAGAUCAUCUCAAACUAUGUCUCUGACCUUGCCUUUCAGUGGCUAUUUUGAGCACAAGAGGAGAAAGGAAAUGAUUCCUGAAUUAUAUCUUGUUUUUAAAAAUUAAGAUUAAUUAAUACUUGGUUUUAUGUUCAUUCCAUUGUAGGAACUUAGUGAUUAUUACAAAACAGUCAAAAUAGGUCAUAGCAAAAUGAACGUUUAAGAUUAGGUUAAAACAUUCCUCUGAAAUUUUAGUAUUCACUUUUGAAGUGUCAAUUACUAUAUUUCUGUAAUUUCUCAUUUUUUUCUUGGCUUAGAGUCAAGAUGAAAAAUGAUAUUUGAAUCAAAGACAUUGUUUUGUUAUAUAGCCACUCCUUUCUAAAAUGCAAAUCCACCCUCCCCUCACCAAUGCUUUAUUCUUUGUGCGCGCACACACACACACACACACACACACACACACACACACACACAGACAUACACAGAACCAGCACCCAAAUGGUAGAGGAGGUCCUUCCAAGACUUCUAGGACCUGGAUCAUGUAAGCAGUAGAUGAGAAAAUGAAGUAAGAGAUAUAGAGUAAUAACAAUAAAAGUCAAUGAUUUCAUUUUACAAAAAAGUCAUUGUGUAGUACUCAGAUAUUUUUAAGAGCAAGUAUUAUUAUGACUAAAGUAUAUUAUACUUCUAAAUUAUUAUGAUUCUCAUCUAAUUUCAAGCCACACAUAGGCGCCAUUUGAAAGCAUUUUGUGUUACAACCUAUCAACAAAAAUCAACUAAUAGUUUUAUAACGUGCAUAGGUUUACCCCAUGGGGAAUUAAAAUUUUUAUCUGCAAGUAUUUCUGUUGUUGUGAGACUUUAGGACAAGACAACAUUUGGUGUUAACAUAGAAGAAUAUUCUAUGGCUUUUUUAGCUUUAAAGUUCAUUACUCUAAAAUAAAGUACACGUGGUAUUUUUUUCUUCCUAGUGUUCUCUUAUUAUAUGUAGAGUAUUUUCGGUUGUUGUUUUUAACGUAUACAUUAUUUUUAUUAAGUCAUUUCAUAAAAGAUAAGAUAUAUACUAAUAGACCCUUGGUUUUCUCCUAAUUUAAUUAUUUCAAGUCAAGCAAAAUUGGGCAAUUUUCUUUCAGGAAAAAAAAAAUAUUGAGCAUGAUUUUGAGGUAAAACUGAUUAUUUACAGCAUCUUUUCUCUAAUAGGCUAACAUUUAUGAUGGAUCUUAUUUCAAAGUUGAUUAUUCUCAAAGAAAAGUGGAGAUAUUAGAAUUUCCGAGUAAAUUGCAUUGUUUUAAAAAGUACUUUAAUGCAUUGUUCACAUUGUUGCCAGCUAUUGACCAAAAAAGAGAAGAAGAAAAAAGAAAUAAAAAAAGCAGUAUCUGCUCCAAACGUCAAGUUUUGCAGUUUGAAAGACUUGUACAUUAUAAUUGUUUUUUUCUUUUUUGGAAAGCAGUAGUAAUUAAUACCAAAGGCAUAGACAAUUUAGGGCCAUAACCUCCCUUCCCCCCUCUCCACCUUUUUUUUUUUUUUUUUUUUUUUUUAACUUUAACCAUGAUAGGCAUCUCUGCAAGGUAGGUUUUAACAUAUUUUUUUCCUAAUUUUUUUCCCUCCAUUCAGUAAGAAGGAUAAGCUUUUAGAGUACCCAGUCACCGUGGUAACUGCCAAAAAAAUUCUCCUGAAGUUUGAAGAGGUCAGCUAGCAGGGUCAACAACCCUGGCCUCUCUCUGAGCUCGGUCUAGCAUGCCCCAGCCUGCGGUUGGAGUGUCAGGCCAGAUCUGACCCUGGGAGGUGGACCAUUCUGGCUCUGAUAUAAAUUUUUCGAGUCAGUUCAUGGCCUGGACUCUCCAGGUGGCCUCCAAAAUCGAUUUUGACCCCCUGACCCUGUCUCACGGAGGCAUAGCAUCCACCCUAAGUAAGGAUUUAGCCAGGAAUGACAGCUUUCCACUGAGUGUUAUUGGGGACAGUAUAAACAGUUUGGAAAGCAAGUAAGGAGGUGUGAGGGCUAGCAAUCAUUAAAAGCACAUUAAAAAACAAUUUUUAAAAAUCUUUAUUAGAGAAAGUUGUAAAUGCAUAUCUGUUACAGAAUUCCUGUGAUUUGUAGAGUUUUCUAGUCAGUUUUGAAUAUAAAUAGGUCACAUAUCUUUAUCUUUUUGCAUACUUUGUUACAAAUAUGCAAAUAAGAUAGGCAUACUUGCUACAAAAUAGGUACAGCAGGAAUGUAAUAUGUUCAGAAAAGGCAAACUGGUUAUUAAAACACAUUAACAGGUAAGGAGUUUCUAAUAUUUUAAAUACUAAAAUUUUACAUGUGUAUUUUGAAGUUUUUAAAAUGGAAAAAUAAAGAACCUUUAAAAAACCCAACAGUGUGGAAUAAAGAUAAACUUGUUGCACUCAAGGUACAUUUCUACUUUGUAAAGCAAGAAGCCAAUACACUCAGUUGGAUAAAAAUGAGAGAAAAAUUGUAAAUAUAGAGAGUUACAGCUUAUAGAGCUGAAGAGGAAUAAAACAAAAAAAAGUGUCUCUGAAUAACUUUAUGUAUUUUCAACAGUUUAAGAUAUCAGAAACUUGGAAAAUAAAUAUGAUAUAUAUAUAAAUCAUCA